GGCCCGGUAGCUCAGACGGUAGAGCAGAGGAUUGAAAAUCCUUGUGUCGGCGGUUCGAUUCCGUCCCAGGCCACCA
rnacentral:tRNA from 1 species